GCUAAAAACUUAGCCUUANCCCUACAAUUAUAUUUACCCUAUUUUACUUACACAAAAUAAAACAUUCUUUAAGCUUAGUAAAGGAGAUAAAAAAGUUUUUUAGAGCUAUAAAAUAAGUACCGCAAGGGAAAAAUGAAAUAAAAAUGAAACAAAAUUCAAGCAUAAUAUAGUAGAGUUUUCCCCUCGUACCUUUUGCAUCAUGAUUCAACUAGUUUAACCACGCAAAAAGAAUUUAAGUUUGACUUCCCGAAACUAAGUGAGCUACUUCAGGGCAGCUAAAUGAGCCAACCCGUCUCUGUUGCAAAAGAGUGGGAUGACCCUUAAGUAGAGGUGAUAAACCUAACGAACUUAGUGAUAGCUGGUUAUUCAGAAAAAGAAUUUUAGUUCAACUUAAAAUUACAUAAAUAAAAUAAAAUAAAAUUUUAAUUUUAAAGCAAUUCAAAUAAGGUACAGCCUAUUUGAAAUAGAAUACAAUCUAAACUAUAGGGUAAAUAUAAAAAAUUAAUGUAAUAAAGUAGGCCUAAAAGCAGCCAACUUUAAAAUAGCGUCAAAGCUUACUUCCAUAAUUUUUUAAUACUAUUAUUUACAAUGAACCCUUUAUUUUUACUGAAUAUUUCUAUAAAGUUAUAGAACCUUUUAUGUUGAAACUAGUAACAAGAAGUUAAACUUCUCCUCAAUAUAAGUAUAAGUCGACUAGGAUAAACCAUCGACAAUUAACGCUUAAAUUAAAUGUAUUAACUCCACAAGAAAAACUUACAUUACCCCACGUUAAUCU
rnacentral:rRNA from 1 species